rnacentral:lncRNA from 1 species
GAGCAGAGAGAGAGCGAGGAAGAGAGCAGAGAGAGAGCGAGGAAGAGAGCAGAGAGAGAGCGAGGAAGAGAGCAGAGAGAGCUAGGAAGAGAGCAGAGAGAGAGCGAGGAAGAGAGCAGAGAGAGAGCGAGGAAGAGAGCAGAGAGAGAGCGAGGAAGAGAGCAGAGAGAGAGCGAGGAAGAGAGCAGAGAGAGAGCGAGGAAGAGAGCAGAGAGAGAGCGAGGAAGAGAGCAGAGAGAGAGCGAGGAAGCGAGCAGAGAGAGAGCGAGGAAGAGAGCAGAGAGCGCGAGGAAGAGAGCAGAGAGAGCACGAGGAAGAGAGCAGAGAGAGCGCGAGGAAGAGAGCAGAGAGCGAAAGAGAGCAGAGAGAGCAGAGAGAGCGAGAGCAAGAGAGCAGAGAGAGAGCAAGAGAGCAAGAGAGCGAGAGCAAGAGAGCAAGAGAGCGAGAGCAAGAGAGCAGAGAGAGAGAGCAAGAGAGCGAGAGCAGAGAGAGCAGAGAAAGAGAGCAGAGAGCAGAGAGAGAGAGAGCAGAGAGCAGAGAGAGAGAAAGAGAGCAGAGAGAGAGAAAGAGAGCAGAGAGAGCAGAAAGAGCAAAGAGAGCGAAAGAGCAGAGAGAGAGAAAGAGAGCAGAGAGAGAGCGAAAGAGCAAAGAGAGCGAAAGAGCAAAGAGCAAAGAGAGCGAAAGAGCAAAGAGAGCGAAAGAGCAGAGAGAGAGGAAGAGAGCAAAGAGAGAGGAAGAGAGCAGAGAGAGAGGAAGAGAGCAGAGAGAGAGAGAGAGAAAGAGAGCAGAGAGAGAGCGGAAGAGAGCAGAGAGCAGAGAGAGAGCGAGGAAGAGAGCAGAGAGAGAGCAAGGAAGAGAGCAGAGAGAGAGCGAGGAAGAGAGCAGAGAGAGAGCGAGGAAGAGAGCAGAGAGAGAGAGAGAAAGAGAGCAGAGAGAGAGAGAAAGAGCAGAGACAGAGAAAGAGAGCAGAGAGAGAGAAAGAGAGCAGAAGAGAGCAGAGAGAGAGAGGAAGAGAGCAGAGAGAGAGAGGAAGAGAGCAGAGAGAGAGGAAGAGAGCAGAGAUAGAGGGAGGAAGAGAGCAGAGAUAGAGGGAGGAAGAGAGCAGAGAUAGAGGGAGGAAGAGAGCAGAGAGAGAGCGAGGAAGAGAGCAGAGAGAGAGCGAGGAAGAGAGCAGAGAGCGAAAGAGAGCAGAGAGCGAAAGAGAGCAGAGAGAGGGAGAGCAGAGAGAGAGAGAGCAAAAGAGAGCAGAGAGAGAGAGCAAGAGAGCGAGAGCAGAGAGAGAAAGAGAGCAGAGAGAGAGAGAGAAAGAGAGCAAAGAGAGCAGAAGAGAGCAGAGAGAGAGAGGAAGAGAGCAGAGAGAGAGAGGAAGAGAGCAGAGAGAGAGAGGAAGAGAGCAGAGAGAGAGAGGAAGAGAGCAGAGAUAGAGGGAGGAAGGGACCAGAGAUAGAGGGAGGAAGAGAGCAGAGAUAGAGGGAGGAAGAGAGCAGAGAUAGAGGGAGGAAGGGACCAGAGAUAGAGGGAGGAAGAGAGCAGAGAUAGAGGGAGGAAGAGAGCAGAGAUAGAGGGAGGAAGGGAGCAGAGAUAGAGGGAGGAAGGGAGCAGAGAUAGAGGGAGGAAGAGAGCAGAGAGAGAGCGAGGAAGAGAGCGAGGAAGAGAGCAGAGAGAGCGAGGAAGAGAGCAGAGAGAGUGCGGGGAAGAGAGCGAGGAAGAGAGCGGGGAAGAGAGCGCGAGGAAGAGAGCAGAGUGCGAAAGAGAGCAGAGAGAGGGAGAGCAGAGAGAGAGAGAGCAAGAGAGCAGAGAGAGAGCAAGAGAGCAGAGAGAGCAAGAGAGCAGAGAGAGCAAGAGAGCAGAGAGAGAAAGAGAGCAGAGAGAGAGAGAGAAAGAGCAAAGAGAGCAGAGAGAGAGAGGAAGAGAGCAGAGAGAGAGGAAGAGAGCAGAGAGAGAGGAAGAGAGCUGAGAGAGAGGAAGAGAGCAGAGAUAGAGGAAGAGAGCAGAGAUAGAGGAAGAGAGCAAAGAGAGAAAUAGAGCAGAGAGAGAAAGAGAGCAGAGAGAGAAAGAGAGCAGAGAGAGAGAAAGAGAGCAGAGAGCAGAGAGCAGAGAAAGAGAGCAGAGAGCAGAGAGCAGAGAAAGAGAGCAGAGAGAGCAGCGAGAAAGAGAGCAGAGAGAGCAGCGAGAAAGAGAGCAGAGAGAGCAGCGAGAAGAGAGCAGAGAGAGAGCAGCGAGGAAGAGAGCAGAGAGAGAGCAGCGAGGAAGAGAGCAGAGAGAGAGCAGCGAGGAAGAGAGCAGAGAGAGAGCGAGGAAGAGAGCGAGGAAGAGAGCAGAGAGAGAGCGAGGAAGAGAGCAGAGAGAGAGCGAGGAAGAGAGCAGAGAGAGCGAGGAAGAGAGCAGAGAGAGAGCGAGGAAGAGAGCAGAGAGAGAGCGAGGAAGAGAGCAGAGAGAGAGCGAGG